rnacentral:lncRNA from 10 species
UAUCCUGUCUUCAAGCUCACUAAGUCAUUCUUCUGCUUGACCAAUUCUGCUAUUAAAAGACUGUGAUGCAUUCUUCAAUGCAUCAAUUGUGUUUUUCCACUCGAGAAUUUCUGCUCGAUUCUUCUUAAUUUUGUCAAUCUCUUUGUUACAUUUACCUGACAGCAUUCUGAAUUCCUUCUCUGUGUUACCUUGAAUUUUUUUGAGUUUUCUCAAUAAAGCUAUUUUCAAUUCUCUGUCCAAAAGGUCAUGUAUCUCUGUUUCACAAAGAUUGGUCCCUGGUGUCUUAUUUACUUAAUUUGGUGGAGUUAUGUUUUCCUGGAUAGUCUUAAUAUUUAUAGAUGUUCAUUUGUGUCUGGGCAUUGAAGUUAGGUAUUUAUUGUUUUCUUUGCAGUCUGAGCUUGUUUGCGAUUGUCCUUCUCGGGAAAGCUUUUCAGAUAUUCAAAAGGAAUUAGAUGUUUUAACUUAAGCUGUAUCUGCUUUAGGAGCUACCCCAGGACCAGUAACACUGUUGUUUUUGAAGAUUCAUAGAGGAACCGCCUUGAUUUUCUUGAUCAAGAUCUGGAAGAAUUAUCUCAAUUGCCAGCUUUGCAGGCCCAGGAGAUUGUGGACCAAGGUCAAGGCCUAGUGAAAAAGAGCGCAGUGAGGAGCUUGACUCCGUUGUGGUUAAGAGGAAAAAUUAUUAGCAUUUUAACAGUAAGUAUAUUUGCUAUAGUUUUUAAUAAAUUUAUCAGAUUAAGGAAGUUUCUCUAGGAUUGAAAAUUUUUUAUCGUAAAUAGAUCUUCAAUAUUAUUUGUCCUUUCUGUAUGCACUGAUUUAAGGUUUUGAUGUUUUUAUCUUUAAUCUGUUAAUGUGGAGAAUGAUUUUUUUUUUUUUGAGGACUAAAUAGAAUCUUUAGGGAUGGGGGAAAUCAGUAAGUGUUAUAUCUGUUAUGUGCUGCUGAAUCCAGUUUGCUAAUAUUCUCUUUGGAUUAUUUGUAUCUGUGCUCAUAAAUUUGAGCAUUUUCCUACCCACUACUAUCCUUGAGAGUUUCUUGUAUCAAGCUAUGUAAAUCUUAUUUUUAAAAUUGCAUAUUUCUUUUUUUCUAUUGUUCUCCAAGCUUUUUCUCCCAAGCAUCAAACAAAUACUUAAAGCUUCUAAUAUUCAUCCAGAAAUGGUCCAUUCAUUUAGUCAGCUACCAAUAUUUUGUUUCCAACAAAGAAGUUUAACAGCAGAGAAAAUGUAGUCAAUUUCGGUUUUAAAAGACAGACUUUUAUUUUUUAAUUGCUGCACAUUAAAUUAUUU